rnacentral:rRNA from 1 species
AUUGAGCGCUGGCGGCAUGCUUUACACAUGCAAGUCGAACGGUAACAGGCCGCAAGGUGCUGACGAGUGGCGAACGGGUGAGUAAUGCAUCGGAACGUGCCCAGUCGUGGGGGAUAACGCAGCGAAAGCUGCGCUAAUACCGCAUACGAUCUAUGGAUGAAAGCGGGGGACCGUAGGGCCUCGCGCGAUUGGAGCGGCCGAUGUCAGAUUAGGUAGUUGGUGGGGUAAAGGCUCACCAAGCCAACGAUCUGUAGCUGGUCUGAGAGGACGACCAGCCACACUGGGACUGAGACACGGCCCAGACUCCUACGGGAGGCAGCAGUGGGGAAUUUUGGACAAUGGGCGCAAGCCUGAUCCAGCAAUGCCGCGUGCAGGAAGAAGGCCUUCGGGUUGUAAACUGCUUCUGUACGGAACGAAACGGUCCUGGUUAAUACCUGGGGCUAAUGACGGUACCGUAAGAAUAAGCACCGGCUAACUACGUGCCAGCAGCCGCCGUAAAAC